rnacentral:rRNA from 1 species
GCCUACGGGGGGCAGCAGUGGGGAAUAUUGGACAAUGGGCGCAAGCCUGAUCCAGCCAUGCCGCGUGAAGGAUGAAGGCCCUAUGGGUCGUAAACUUCUUUUAAACGGGACGAAACCCCUCGACGUGUCGAGGGCUGACGGUACCGUAAGAAUAAGGGUCGGCUAACUUCGUGCCAGCAGCCGCGGUAAUACGAAGGACCCGAGCGUUAUCCGGAUUUAUUGGGUUUAAAGGGUGCGUAGGCGGACUUUCAAGUCAGUGGUGAAAGCCCAUCGCUCAACGAUGGAAUUGCCAUUGAUACUGUUGGUCUUGAGUAUAGUUGAGGUGGGCGGAAUGUGUCAUGUAGCGGUGAAAUGCUUAGAUAUGACACAGAACACCUAUUGCGAAGGCAGCUCGCUAAGCUAUAACUGACGCUGAGGCACGAAAGUGUGGGUAGCAAACAGGAUUAGAUACCCCGGUAGC